rnacentral:rRNA from 1 species
UACGGAGGGUGCGAGCGUUAAUCGGAAUUACUGGGCGUAAAGGGCGCGUAGGCGGCCGAUCAAGUCAGAUGUGAAAGCCCUGGGCUCAACCUGGGAACUGCAUUCGAUACUGUCGAGCUAGAGUGUGGGAGAGGGUGGUGGAAUUCCCGGUGUAGCGGUGAAAUGCGUAGAUAUCGGGAGGAACAUCAGUGGCGAAGGCGACCGCCUGGCCCAACACUGACGCUGAGGUGCGAAAGCGUGGGUAGCAAACAGGAUUAGAAACCCUGGUAGU